CAAAACGAUCAUCAGCCAGGGAGUUGCCCUCUACCCGCUGUAUGACUCUAACUUAGCAGAGACUCAUCUGAUAUUUUCUUCUAGUGAUUGGCUCUAAUAGACGCCCCACAUUUCAGUGGUUGCCCAUUCUAACACUACUCUAAUCCUAGCAUGCUUAACCCUUUUAAUCUCUUGGGCUUAGCCACCAUCUCAAAUGCUAUAUUCGAACUAAAAAGUUUAGCCCUAUUAUAUCUUUUAUAUAAGAUUAUUCUA
rnacentral:lncRNA from 1 species